GUACACGCUGUGACUAGCAUAUCAAUAAGCGGAGGAAAAGAAACUAACAAGGAUUCCCCUAGUAACGGCGAGUGAAGCGGGAAGAGCUCAAAUUUGAAAUCUUAAAGGGUUUCCCUUUACGAAUUGUAGUUUAAAGAAGUGUUUUCUGUUGAGGUUUUGGUAAAAGUUCUUUGGAAUAGGACAUCAUAGAGGGUGAGAAUCCCGUAUUUGACCUUUACUUUCAACUUUGUGAUACACUUUCAAAGAGUCGGAUUGUUUGGGAAUGCAGUCCAAAAUGGGUGGUAAAUUUCAUCUAAAGCUAAAUAUUGGCGAGAGACCGAUAGCGAACAAGUACCGUGAGGGAAAGAUGAAAAGAACUUUGAAAGAGAGUUAAACAGUACGUGAAAUUGUCAAAAGGGAAGCGUUUGACACCAGUGUUGUUUUUCUGAAAAUCAAUUAAAGAACUGUUUAUGCUAAGUUGUUUAGACUUUAUCAGCUAACUGUUUAGUUUUGAGCUUUUCUUUAAUGCACUUUUCAGUUAACAAGUCAACAUCAAUUUCUUUUGCUGUAAAAAAGCUUGAGGAAGGUGGCUUGAGAUUCGUCUUAAGUGUUUAUAGCCUCUUGCCUAUGCAGUCGGAGAGAUUGAGGUCUGCAGCGUAGAUCCUUCGGGGCUAAAUGCAUUUGUGCUAAGUUAUAGCAUUUUAUAGACAACUUGUUGACUAUGAUUUGUCUUGUAGCUUACUCGCUUAUGUUAUUUUACCUACGCUUAGGAUGUUGACGCGCGUGUGUGCGUG
rnacentral:rRNA from 1 species